rnacentral:rRNA from 1 species
AUGCCAAGAUCCAACUCAGACAGGGAUGAUAUCUUCUUUGAUGCAUUUGAUGAUAUUAGUUCAGCAAGGGAGCCUUCAUCAUCAGAUGAUUGUAGUACGAGUGGCGAAGGAUUGGCGCCAAGGGAAUUUGAGUACGACAUUUGGGCAAACGAGCCAAUGAGUGUUAAAGAAAGGCGGCAAAGAUUCCUGGAGGGAAUGGGAUUAGAUGACUUAGGUUCCACUAAAGUGGAUCUUCCUCAAUGUCAGGCAGAGAUAACAAGUGCUGACACUGGUGCUGACUUGCAGGAAAGGACUGUUAUGAGCGACGUCUCUUCUUUGGGUUCAUCUAUACCUGAGAAUGAAUCAGCAUUUGAUGCCGCCUGCUGCAUUAGGGAUCUGGAUAGUGGAAAGAGAUAUGUAGUUCAUAAUGGCGGGCAUGACGGACUAACUAGCUUUCUCAAGGAUGUUGCAACAGAUAAGGUGUUGUCUCUUCUGGAGUUUGAAAGCUUAGUUGGUGUUUCUCGAUCUGUUCAAAAGUUAUUACGAAGAGCAUAUUGCCAGAGUCCUGCCCUGGCAACAGAGGCAAAAGAGGCUAUUGGUGGAAAGAAAAAGGAUAUCAAAAGCUUGUGCAAAAACUUGAUGAAGAAGAGGAGUUUCGGUGGAAUGUGCAAGACUGAUGUCCAUGUAAAAAGCUGCACGACAAGUAUACCAUCCAGAACAAAAGUUCAGCACCGAAAGAAGAAGAAUGCGGAAUUCUCUGCUGUCUAUAUGGGUCAAGAAAUCCGGGCUCACAACGGUUUAAUUAGAGUAAUGAAGUUUAGUCCGUCUGGCUGGUAUUUAGCAAGUGGUGGUGAGGACUGUGUUGUGAGAAUUUGGCAGAUUACAGAAGUGGACGCACAUUCUAAAAUGUAUGGGGGAGAGAACCACUCUCAUGAACAUGUAGAGAAAAUUAAAAUCCUAAAACCGAAGCUAGAAGAGGGGCAGGGCCGUGCACUUGCAGUUAUGCCAAGCAAGGGUUUUCACAUUACAGAGAGCCCAUUGCAUGAAUUGCAUGGCCAUACAGGUGAUGUCCUGGAUAUGACAUGGUCGAAUUCAGAUUGUCUGUUGACCUCAUCAAAAGAUAAGACAGUCAGAUUGUGGAAAGUUGGCUCAGAUGUUUGUCUUGGAGUAUUCAGACACAAAGACUACGUGACGUGUGUUCAGUUCAAUCCUACUGACGAAAGAUACUUCAUCAGUGGUUCAAUAGAUGGUAAAGUUCGCAUUUGGGAUGUUCUACACAAGCGGGUCGUCAACUGGGCUGAUACCAGGAAUGUUAUAUCUGCUGUUAGUUACCAACCAGAUGGAAAGAAUUUUGUUGUUGGCACGACUGGAGGAGUUUGUCGCUUCUACGAUCAAUCAGGUGAAGACAUCCAACUAGACAAAGAAUUGUUUAUGCAAGGGAAAAAGAAAUCUGCUGCCAAUCGGAUCAAGAGUCUGCAGUUAUGUACAAGUGAUUCCCCUAGAUUCCUAGUUACAUCAACAGAUUCCAAGAUUCGAGUUGCUGAUGGUGCUGAUAUCGUCCAAAAGUUUAAAGGGCCUUGGAAGUCGAAGGCUCUUUCAUCGCCAUCACUAACAUCAGAUGGCAGAUAUCUUAUAUCCACUGGCAUGGACUCCAAUGUCUACAUAUGGAAUUUUGACAACUCAAGCAGCGCCUCACAGAAAGGUGAAGCCAAAUCGGUUCGAUCGUGCGAAAUGUUCUUCUCCAAGGACGUGACAACCGCGGUGCCAUGGCCGGGGGUGCACCAAGACAGGCAUGUCAAGCCGUCCCGCUUGCCCGAGAAAUCUGCCAGCGCGUCGGCUUUACGCCGCCAUGGAGGAGAAAGCCGUUCCCCUGGGACAUGGUUCUUCGCGGACGGCAUGAGGGGGUCUGUGACGUGGCCAGAGGAGAAGCUCACUUCGGCGAAGCCUGUCAAUGGCCCCCGGCUGGCUGACUGUCUCUCGGCGAUAUCGGCUGCCUGGAACAUGGUGAUAGUGACGGCGAGCCACGGCGGCGUGAUCCGGUCCUUCCACAACUACGGCUUGCCUGUGACGUUGUGA